rnacentral:misc_RNA from 1 species
ACCAAUCAAGCCUCGCUUGGUAUUAGGCGUUCGCCCCCGUCACCGGCGGGCGUGCCUCAAACAUUUCGGCGGAGCACACCGGCUUUGGGCGUAGUAGAAUUUAUCAAAACGCUCGUGGGACGGUGGGACUUUUGCCGCGCAACGACACCUUUUAUUACCAGGUUGACCUCGGAUCAGGUAGGGAUACCCGCUGAACUUAA